rfam:Flavobacterium sp. FPG59 Contig_297, whole genome shotgun sequence.
UUUUAGCCCUGAUAGAAGCGGCAUCCUCUUGUGGUAGCGCUAGCGAACACAAGAGAUACAGCGGAUAGCAGGAAACAGC